rnacentral:rRNA from 1 species
CGGGUGCGUAACGCGUAUAGAACCUACCUUUUACAGAGGAAUAGCCUUUAGAAAUGAAGAUUAAUGCCUCAUAGUAUUGUAGACUGGCAUCAGUUUAUAAUUAAAGAUUUAUCGGUAAAAGAUGGCUAUGCGUCCUAUUAGUUAGUUGGUAAGGUAACGGCUUACCAAGACAGCGAUAGGUAGGGGUCCUGAGAGGGAGAUCCCCCACACUGGUACUGAGACACGGACCAGACUCCUACGGGAGGCAGCAGUGAGGAAUAUUGGACAAUGGAGGAGACUCUGAUCCAGCCAUGCCGCGUGUAGGAAGAAUGCCCUAUGGGUUGUAAACUACUUUUAUACAGGAAGAA